rnacentral:rRNA from 1 species
GCCUACCAAGGCGACGAUACGUAGCCGACCUGAGAGGGUGAUCGGCCACACUGGAACUGAGACACGGUCCAGACUCCUACGGGAGGCAGCAGUAGGGAAUCUUCCGCAAUGGGCGAAAGCCUGACGGAGCAACGCCGCGUGAGUGAUGAAGGUCUUCGGAUCGUAAAACUCUGUUAUUAGGGAAGAACAUAUGUGUAAGUAACUGUGCACAUCUUGACGGUACCUAAUCAGAAAGCCACGGCUAACUACGUGCCAGCAGCCGCGGUAAUACGUAGGUGGCAAGCGUUAUCCGGAAUUAUUGGGCGUAAAGCGCGCGUAGGCGGUUUUUUAAGUCUGAUGUGAAAGCCCACGGCUCAACCGUGGAGGGUCAUUGGAAACUGGAAAACUUGAGUGCAGAAGAGGAAAGUGGAAUUCCAUGUGUAGCGGUGAAAUGCGCAGAGAUAUGGAGGAACACCAGUGGCGAAGGCGACUUUCUGGUCUGUAACUGACGCUGAUGUGCGAAAGCGUGGGGAUCAAACAGGAUUAGAUACCCUGGUAGUCCACGCCGUAAACGAUGAGUGCGAAGUGUUAGGGGG